GGACGGGUGAGUAACACGUAGGCAACCUGCCCUCAAGUUUGGUUACCCCUACCGGAAACGGUAGCUAAUACCGAAUAAUUGUUUUCUUCGCCUGAAGGAAACUGGAAAGACGGAGCAAUCUGUCACUUGGGGAUGGGCCUGCGGCGCAUUAGCUAGUUGGUGAGGUAACGGCUCACCAAGGCGACGAUGCGUAGCCGACCUGAGAGGGUGAUCGGCCACACUGGGACUGAGACACGGCCCAGACUCCUACGGGAGGCAGCAGUAGGGAAUCUUCCGCAAUGGGCGAAAGCCUGACGGAGCAAUGCCGCGUGAGUGAUGAAGGUUUUCGGAUCGUAAAGCUCUGUUGCCAGGGAAGAACGCUUGGGAGAGUAACUGCUCUCAAGGUGACGGUACCUGAGAAGAAAGCCCCGGCUAACUACGUGCCAGCAGCCGCGGUAAUACGUAGGGGGCAAGCGUUGUCCGGAAUUAUUGGGCGUAAAGCGCGCGCAGGCGGUCAUUUAAGUCUGGUGUUUAAUCCCGGGGCUCAACCCCGGAUCGCACUGGAAACUGGGUGACUUGAGUGCAAAAGAAGAGAGUGGAAUUCCACGUGUAGCGGUGAAAAUGCGUAGAUAUGUGGAGGAACACCAGUGGCGAA
rnacentral:rRNA from 1 species